UAGCUAGUUGGUGAGGUAAAGGCUUACCAAGGCGACGAUCUGUAGCGGGUCUGAGAGGAUGAUCCGCCACACUGGAACUGAGACACGGUCCAGACUCCUACGGGAGGCAACAGUGGGGAAUUUUGGACAAUGGGGGCAACCCUGAUCCAGCCAUGCCGCGUGAGUGAAGAAGGCCUUCGGGUUGUAAAGCUCUUUCGGCCGGGAAGAAAUCGCAUGGGCCAAUACCCUGUGUGGAUGACGGUACCGGAAUAAGAAGCACCGGCUAACUACGUGCCAGCAGCCGCGGUAAUACGUAGGGUGCGAGCGUUAAUCGGAAUUACUGGGCGUAAAGCGUGCGCAGGCGGUUUUGUAAGACAGGCGUGAAAUCCCCGGGCUUAACCUGGGAACUGCGUUUGUGACUGCAAGGCUAGAGUACGGCAGAGGGGGGUGGAAUUCCACGUGUAGCAGUGAAAUGCGUAGAGAUGUGGAGGAACACCAAUGGCGAAGGCAGCCCCCUGGGUCGAUACUGACGCUCAUGCACGAAAGCGUGGGUAGCAAACAGGAUUAGAUACCCUGGUGGUCCACGCCCUAAACUAUGUCAACUAGGUGUUGGGUGGGUAAAACCAUUUAGUACCGUAGCUAACGCGUGAAGUUGACCGCCUGGGGAGUACGGCCGCAAGGUUAAAACUCAAAGGAAUUGACGGGGACCCGCACAAGCGGUGGAUGAUGUGGAUUAAUUCGAUGCAACGCGAAAAACCUUACCUACCCUUGACAUGCCAGGAACUUGCCAGAGAUGGCUUGGUGCCCGAAAGGGAGCCUGGACACAGGUGCUGCAUGGCUGUCGUCAGCUCGUGUCGUGAGUUGUUGGGUUAAGUCCCGCAACGAGCGCAACCCUUGUCGUUAAUUGCCAUCAUUUAGUUGGGCACUUUAACGAGACUGCCGGUGACAAACCGGAGGAAGGUGGGGAUGACGUCAAGUCCUCAUGGCCCUUAUGGGUAGGGCUUCACACGUCAUACAAUGGUCGGUACAAAGGGUUGCCAAGCCGCGAGGCGGAGCCAAUCCCAGAAAGCCGAUCGUAGUCCGGAUUGCAGGCUGCAACUCGCCUGCAUGAAGUCGGAAUCGCUAGUAAUCGUGGAUCAGCAUGUCACGGUGAAUACGUUCCCGGGUCUUGUACACACCGCCCGUCACACCAUGGGAGCGGGUUCCGCCAGAAGUAGGUAGCCUAACCGCAAGGGGGGCGCUUACCACGGCGGGGUUCGUGACUGGGGUGAAGUCGGAACAAGGUAGCCGUAGGGGAACCUGCGGCUG
rnacentral:rRNA from 1 species